rnacentral:rRNA from 1 species
AUGACCCUUAUUCUUCGCCGCUUAGCACAAAUCGAGCAGAAAAAUUCAACAAAUGGAGAUGGUGCAAUUUGGCGAAAGUUCAUGGAACCAGACUUUACGCAUAGACCCAUUGUUUGCCGUUUCAGUCCAAACCGAACUCUUAAUGGAGAAACACAUCGACCAAUGCUGAAUGAUAUUUUGAAGAAAAGGAUUGUCGUUCUCGACCCCCAAGCAGGCCCAUUUGGAUUUAUGACCGAUCGAGUCAAAUUCCAUGAACAAGUCAAUCAUGCCAUCUACUGGAUGGAGAAGAGAGUUCCCUACAUUGAUGAUUGA